rnacentral:tRNA from 1 species
AUGGAUUUAGCUUAGUGGCAUGAGUGCCUGCCUUGCAAGCAUGUGGUCAUGAGUUCAAUCCCCAGUACCCAUU